CAGUCGCCGCGGUAAAACGAGGGGGGCAAGCGUUGUUCGGAAUUAUUGGGCGUAAAGGGCGCGUAGGCGGUUUGGCAAGUUUGGUGUGAAAUCUUCGGGCUCAACUCGAAGUCUGCACCGAAAACUGCCGGGCUUGAGUAUGGGAGAGGUGAGUGGAAUUUCCGGUGUAGCGGUGAAAUGCGUAGAUAUCGGAAGGGACACCUGUGGCGAAAGCGGCUCACUGGACCAUUACUGACGCUGAGGCGCGAAAGCUAGGGGAGCAAACAGGAUUAGAUACCCCCGUAGUCCCUGUCUCUUAUAA
rnacentral:rRNA from 1 species